rnacentral:rRNA from 1 species
GACGUAGGGCGCGAGCGUUGUCCGGAUUUAUUGGGCGUAAAGAGCUCGUAGGCGGCUUGUCGCGUCGUUCGUGAAAACCCGGGGCUCAACUCCGGGCUUGCGGGCGAUACGGGCAGGCUAGAGUUCGGUAGGGGAGACUGGAAUUCUUGGUGUAGCGGUGAAAUGCGCAGAUAUCAGGAGGAACACCGGUGGCGAAGGCGGGUCUCUGGGCCGAUACUGACGCUGAGGAGCGAAAGCGUGGGGAGCGAACAGG